CCAUGAUGAAAACUGAGAGAGAGAAGAGCUGGGCCAUCUGAAACUUGUCAUCUCUCUUGCAACUCAUGAUCAAUGAACUGUCUGCCUCCAGAGGGAAUCUUCACCUGCCUCUGGAUGAUACUCGCACUUCAGGCUGAAAUCUGGAAGAGAGACAUGAAAGAAAAUCAUGUGCAUAGGAGAUGUAUCAGCCACCCCCGGAUCAUGAGAGUUGCACGUGCCUCCUGUCACAGAAGUAUAUUGAGCUUCCUUCCAGUGGCGGCUCCCUCCUGCCCAUCCGCCUGCCUGCUUUCGCCUCCACCUCCACCUCCUCCUCCUCCCAUGGAGCAGCGGGGCUUCCCUCCGCCUGAGGUGGUGGCAGUGGCAGCGGUGGUGGUGGCAGCUCCCUCCCCCUGCCUGCCUCUGCCUCUGCCUCUGCCUCCUCCCACAGAGCAGCAGGGCUCUCCCUCCCCCUGAGGAGGUGAGGACGGCAGCUGUGGCAGCUCCUCCCUCCCCCCUGCCCACCUGCCAACCCUCCUCCACUUCUUCCCAUGGAGCAGUGGGCCUUCCCUCUGCCUGAGAAAGUGGAGGUGGCAGCGGUGGCGGCUCUUUUCCCCCUCACCCGCCUCUGCCUCCACCUCCUCCUGCAGAGCAGUGGGGCCUCCCUCCACCUGAGGAGGCGGUGGUGGCAGUGGCGGUGCGCCUCCCCCGCCCCUGGCCCAGCUGCCUCUGCCUCUGCCUCCUCCUGCAGAGCUGUGGGGCUCCUGCCUCCCUGCCUGAGGAGGUGGAGCCCCCAUAGCCAAUUGCUACCAGCCCUCUAGGUGGUGCAUGCGCAGUUGCCCAAAAGUAUCACGGACAGACAGACACAUAGACUGACACACAGACAGACAGACUAAGCCCUUUAUUGUACUAGAAUUCAUUCCCAGAUUGUGACAAACUCAAGCAGACACCUUCAAAGGGCUCCAACAGCUUUUCAGGCUGUCAUAGCAGACUUUAGGGGCAGGAGCUGGUUGAUCAGGAGAGCAAUUUUUAGGGCCACCCCUGAGGUAGUGGCAUUGGUUUAGGUACUACCAGGAUUUUGUGUGUGUGUGUUUGUCUAUGGCGGGAGGGUGGGCUGAUCUUUAAUGAGGGCACAGAAAUAUCACUAAAGACUAGAUCAGCUGCCAUUUAUGGACAUAAAUGUUGCUAUGUUGUUAGAAGGCUCACUGUCAAGUCAUCUGCAGUGACUAAGCCAAGGAUACCUGAAAUGCCACCUCUUUGUACCUGAGUUUCUCCUCUGAAAGGCAAUAAUACAGAUACUUUUUGAGUAUUAGCUGAUAAAGAGCACAAUAAAAAAGCUGGGUAUUGGUUAGUACUAUUCUUACUGCCUUAGAUGAAGACAAAGCUCUUCCUGGUCUCAGUUCAUAUCCAGGAUUUUCAGAAAUGACUACUUAUUUUAGAUUCACCACAUUUUCAGAUGCUCAGUCAGUGAUGCCUUAGAGAGUAGCCAGAUUUUCCAGGGGCAGGUGCCAAAUGCUUGGUAAUAAUCCAGGGCCCUUUAAAGUAUCUCAUCUUAAAAAGGUCAAAGUUGUCCCAUCAACUUUUUUUAACCAAAAGAAAAUUGAUUGAAUUUGUAUUUGAUUCAAUAAACAUUUUCUUGUUCAUUUGCCCAACGUGUUGGUCGGGCUGGGAUUGGAAACUCAGCCCAGCUGGGCUGACUUCCCAUCCCCUGCGCUAGAUCAGAUUGUGAAUGGGUUGACUUCCCAUCCUCAGCCCAGUCUAGAGCGGGGGAUGUGAACUCAGCCCAGCUGGGCUGAGUUCCCAACCCAUCCCAAUCAUAGGGCUGGGGAGGGGAACUGAGCGAUUGGGCUCAGUUUCUUUCCCCAGCCGGAUCACAGCGCUUGAGAGGGGAACUGAGCUCAGGCUCAGUUCCCUUCCCCUGUGCUGUGAUCGGCUUUCUGCAGCCUGGUGGUGGGAGACGGGGAGAGCCAGGGCUGUGCUCCCAGCUGCUUCUGGGAGCUCAGCCCUGGUUCUCCCCUGUCUCCCACCUGCUGGCUGCUUUGAAAUUUGAAACUUUUGAAAUGGUUCAACUAGCCUUGUUUUGUUCUGAGGCUGUUUUGAAGUGCUUUGUUUCAAUUUGAUUUAACUGUUUCGAGCUUGAAAUGAGUCGAAAUAGUGUCAAAUUGAAACAGCUGGCGAAAUUUUUCACAGUCCUAAUAAACAGUGAAAUGUGUAUCAGCACUGAGAAAAUGGUGGUGCACUUUUGAACUAAAAUACAUUGAAAGGGUUUUAGUUUCAAAGCACACUGCCACCAUUUUCCUAGUGCUGAUGCACAUUUUGCCAUUUACAUUAAUGAAUGCGACACAGCUCUAGGCAUGUUAGUUUGUGUGCUCCACAGACUUGAUUAAUCGCGUCUGCUCUAUAUUGCUGGAUUUCCAGCGUGUUGGAGCAGAUAAACGUAUGUGUAUAAAUACCCCAUGGUUGUUUUGUGAUGCUUUAAUACACAUUAAAAUAAGCUAAUGCACAUUACAGCGCACAUGUAAAUGUGCCUGGUGUCUCUCUCUCUCUAAAACUCAGCAAAAUGAAGCUCAGUUUUCAUCUUUAAGUGAUAUACCUAAUAAAUAACAAAAUAAAUAUUUACGGGAA